UACAUGGGGUGCAAACGUUGCUCGGAAUUAUUGGGCGUAAAGCGCGCGUAGGCGGUUACUUAAGUCGGAUGUGAAAGCCCUCGGCUUAACUGAGGAAGUGCACCCGAAACUGAGUAGCUAGAGUACGAAAGAGGGUCGCGGAAUUCCCGGUGUAGAGGUGAAAUUCGUAGAUAUCGGGAGGAACACCGGUGGCGAAGGCGGCGACCUGGACAGUAACUGACGCUGAGACGCGAAAGCGUGGGUAGCAAACAGG
rnacentral:rRNA from 1 species